rnacentral:rRNA from 1 species
GACCUUCGGGUCUAGCGGCGGACGGGUGAGUAACGCGUGGGAACGUGCCCUUCUCUACGGAAUAGCCCCGGGAAACUGGGAGUAAUACCGUAUACGCCCUUUGGGGGAAAGAUUUAUCGGAGAAGGAUCGGCCCGCGUUGGAUUAGGUAGUUGGUGGGGUAAUGGCCCACCAAGCCGACGAUCCAUAGCUGGUUUGAGAGGAUGAUCAGCCACACUGGGACUGAGACACGGCCCAGACUCCUACGGGAGGCAGCAGUGGGGAAUCUUAGACAAUGGGGGCAACCCUGAUCUAGCCAUGCCGCGUGAGUGAUGAAGGCCUUAGGGUUGUAAAGCUCUUUCAGCUGGGAAGAUAAUGACGGUACCAGCAGAAGAAGCCCCGGCUAACUCCGUGCCAGCAGCCGCGGUAAUACGGAGGGGGCUAGCGUUGUUCGGAAUUACUGGGCGUAAAGCGCACGUAGGCGGACUGGAAAGUCAGAGGUGAAAUCCCAGGGCUCAACCUUGGAACUGCCUUUGAAACUAUCAGUCUGGAGUUCGAGAGAGGUGAGUGGAAUUCCGAGUGUAGAGGUGAAAUUCGUAGAUAUUCGGAGGAACACCGGUGGCGAAGGCGGCUC